GAUGAACGCUGGCGGCGUGCCUAAUACAUGCCAGUCGAGCGAACAGAUGAGGAGCUUGCUCCUCUGACGUUAGCGGCGGACGGGUGAGUAACACGUGGAUAACCUACCUAUAAGACUGGAUAACUUCGGGAAACCGGAGCUAAUACCGGAUAAUAUAUUGAACCGCAUGGUUCAAUAGUGAAAGACGGUUUUGCUGUCACUUAUAGAUGGAUCCGCGCCGCAUUAGCUAGUUGGUAAGGUAACGGCUUACCAAGGCAACGAUGCGUAGCCGACCUGAGAGGGUGAUCGGCCACACUGGAACUGAGACACGGUCCAGACUCCUACGGGAGGCAGCAGUAGGGAAUCUUCCGCAAUGGGCGAAAGCCUGACGGAGCAACGCCGCGUGAGUGAUGAAGGUCUUCGGAUCGUAAAACUCUGUUAUUAGGGAAGAACAAAUGUGUAAGUAACUAUGCACGUCUUGACGGUACCUAAUCAGAAAGCCACGGCUAACUACGUG
rnacentral:rRNA from 1 species